GGAAAGUCUUCGGUUCGGGUACAAGACUUUUCGUGAUAGACCCAAAGAAAGAAAUUGUUACGGUACCAGAGUUGACUGGAUACCGACCAUCAAAAAAAAACACUGACAUUCAUGGCAAACAGACAAUGUUAUGCCAUGCCAGUGGCAUGGUUCCUGACUUUGUGACAUUCAAAUGGCAAGAAAAGAGCGGUGCAGGACAGUGGACAGAUGUAUCAGAGGAAAAUGUUUUGGAGCAGAGGAAAGAAAGUCCAGCUGUCACUGUGACAAGUAUGAUGAUUGUAGAUAAAAACAUGGCAGAAAACAAGGACUACCAAUGCAUUGUUACCCAUGAGGGAAACACUGAGAAUCCUUCCAAAUCUCUUGAAAUGAAGAAAGAAAACAGUAAGCCGGCAAAGGAAUCUAAAAAUGAUGCUCAGAACCCAACAUGUUCACCCAGCACUGAGGAGACCAUAAAAAAGCAAAUAUCAGGAGAUUCAGAGCAAAUACCAAGUAUGUUCCUGUUUGUCUAUGCAUAUGGUGUCUUGCUCAUGAAGAACGGUUUAUUUUUUUGCAUUGUGUCUAUGUUUCAAUUAAAGAGAAAAGCUGGAAAGAAAGACAAAAGCUCAGAGACUUAAUGCAUAAGAUAAAUAUCAAGCAAGCAAAGGUUUAUUACAUAAAGCACAUUUCGCUAACUAAAGAAUAGAUGCAUAUCUACAGCAAUAUUAUUUCUGCUUAAAAUGUAUGGCUUUUAAAUUUGUUGUAGAUCUGCUUUGAACAAUUUACUUUUUCAUCUUUAAAAUGCAAUAUUUUGAUUUUUUAAAAUGUAUAAUGUACCCA
rnacentral:lncRNA from 1 species